AUACGUAGGGUGCAAGCGUUGUCCGGAAUUAUUGGGCGUAAAGAGCUCGUAGGUGGCGUGUCGCGUCUGGUGUGAAAACUGUUGGCUUAACCAGCAGCUUGCAUCGGGUACGGGCAUGCUAGAGUGUGGUAGGGGUAACUGGAAUUCCUGGUGUAGCGGUGGAAUGCGCAGAUAUCAGGAGGAACACCGAUGGCGAAGGCAGGUUACUGGGCCAUUACUGACACUGAGGAGCGAAAGCGUGGGGAGCGAACAGGAUUAGAUACCCUGGUAGUCCACGCUGUAAACGUUGGGCACUAGAUGUGGGGCUUGUUUCCACGAGUUCUGCGUCGUAGCUAACGCAUUAAGUGCCCCGCCUGGGGAGUACGGCCGCAAGGCUAAA
rnacentral:rRNA from 1 species